rnacentral:tRNA from 1 species
GGACGGGUGGCCGAGUGGCUGAAGGCACUGGUUUGCUAAACCAGCAUACGGCUCAAACCGUAUCGCGGGUUCGAAUCCCGCCCCGUCCG